GCAAGUCGAACGAAGUCUUCGGACUUAGUGGCGGACGGGUGAGUAACACGUGGGAACGUGCCUUUAGGUUCGGAAUAACUCAGGGAAACUUGUGCUAAUACCGAAUGUGCCCUUCGGGGGAAAGAUUUAUCGCCUUUAGAGCGGCCCGCGUCUGAUUAGCUAGUUGGUGAGGUAAAGGCUCACCAAGGCGACGAUCAGUAGCUGGUCUGAGAGGAUGAUCAGCCACAUUGGGACUGAGACACGGCCCAAACUCCUACGGGAGGCAGCAGUGGGGAAUCUUGCGCAAUGGGCGAAAGCCUGACGCAGCCAUGCCGCGUGAAUGAUGAAGGUCUUAGGAUUGUAAAAUUCUUUCACCGGAGACGAUAAUGACGGUACCCGGAGAAGAAGCCCCGGCUAACUUCGUGCCAGCAGCCGCGGUAAUACGAAGGGGGCUAGCGUUGCUCGGAAUUACUGGGCGUAAAGGGAGCGUAGGCGGACAUUUAAGUCAGGGGUGAAAUCCCGGGGCUCAACCUCGGAAUUGCCUUUGAUACUGGGUGUCUUGAGUGUGAGAGAGGUAUGUGGAACUCCGAGUGUAGAGGUGAAAUUCGUAGAUAUUCGGAAGAACACCAGUGGCGAAGGCGACAUACUGGCUCAUUAC
rnacentral:rRNA from 1 species